rnacentral:rRNA from 1 species
UACGUAGGGUGCAAGCGUUGUCCGGAAUUAUUGGGCGUAAAGAGCUCGUAGGCGGUUUGUUGCGUCGGCUGUGAAAUCCCGAGGCUCAACCUCGGGUCUGCAGUCGAUACGAGCAAACUAGAGUGUUGCAGGGGAGACUGGAAUUCCUGGUGUAGCGGUGAAAUGCGCAGAUAUCAGGAGGAACACCGAUGGCGAAGGCAGGUCUCUGGGCCACUACUGACGCUGAGAAGCGAAAGCGUGGGGAGCAAACAGG